rnacentral:rRNA from 1 species
UCAUCAUGCCCUUAUGUUCUGGGCUACACACGUGCUACAAUGGCCGGUACAGACGGACGCAAAGCCGCGAGGUGGAGCAAAUCCUAAAAGCCGGUCUCAGUUCGGAUUGCAGGCUGCAAUUCCGCCUGCAUGAAGUCGGAAUCGCUAGUAAUCGCAGGUCAGCAUACUGCGGUGAAUUACCGGUUCCCGGGCCUU